CUUCAUUACUCUAUAACAACAAUAAAAAAAAUACCACAAAAAUGUCAGACAUCAAAAGCUUUGGGGAAACAUGGAUGAAAUGAGCACUCUGCUCGCAAAAUUGCCUUUUACGGAGAUCCGAGAUAAAUAGAGAGAUCACAAAGGGGGGAAAAAAGAGUCUACGAGGAGAUACAGCAAGAAAUUAUGCUUGCCGGUGUUUGUUGUCCUUUGCAGCUGAUCUCAACCCUGCCAUUAGAACAUUCUUUUGUUUGCAGCCUUGGAACUUUAAGCCAUUCUUUAUUGUUCAUAUGGUUUCGUAAUGUAUCCAACAUCUGCGCAGGGAAGACAGGGGCCGGUGUGGUGGCUGUUUUCAUCACCCAGGGGCUAUUUCAGUGUGUGGUGGUGCUCCCCCCUCUUCCCGAGAGAUGACUGAAGAAUGGACUUGUUUGUGGACAGACUCAUAAAGGCCCGUCCAGAGCUCCUUUUUUUAUUUGGAGCGUGUGCGGCUGUCUGUGAAACCAGACCUGGUCCUCGGUGAGCACUUAACAC